rnacentral:tRNA from 1 species
GGGUUAAUAGCUCAGCGGUAGAGCACAUGCUUAGCAUGCACGAGAUCCUGAGUUCAAUCCCCAGUGCCCCUA